rnacentral:rRNA from 1 species
CCUACGGGUGGCAGCAGUGGGGGAUAUUGCACAAUGGAGGAAACUCUGAUGCAGCGACGCCGCGUGAGGGAAGACGGUCUUCGGAUUGUAAACCUCUGUCUUUGGGGAAGAAAAUGACGGUACCCAAAGAGGAAGCUCCGGCAAACUACGUGCCAGCAGCCGCGGUAAUACGUAGGGAGCGAGCGUUGUCCGGAAUUACUGGGUGAAAAGGGAGCGUAGGCGGGCGUGAAAGUUGAGUGUUAAAGCGACCGGCUAAACUGGUAGCUGCGUUCAAAACUUCUUGUCUUGAGUGAAGUAGAGGCAGGUGGAACUCCAAGUGUAGCGGUAAAAUGCGUAGAUAUAUGGAAGAACACCAGUGGCGAAGGCGGCCGCCUGGCCUGUUGCUGACGCUGAGGCACGAAAGCGUGGGGAGCAAAUAGGAUUAGAUACCCCGGUAGUC